rnacentral:lncRNA from 1 species
AUGGAUAUCGUUUUUCCUAGAGCAGCUGUUGGAAGGGUAAAGCCAACAUCCUUCACGGUCACUGCGACGUUGUUCUUUGAGCGUCAUUCCUGCACCCCCUUGUUUCAGAGCCACCCCAAGAUGGUGGUUGAAGAGGGAGAUUCCUGGGCCUCCAGCAGACUCCCUGGUGUGGAAGAUCAGCAUUUGAACGCACUUCUAAGGCUAUGUCCUAUGUACAGUCAAGUUUGAGCUUUGUGACGUGGGGGUUGCUCAGGGGAACAAGUGAUUACCAUGAAGUCACAACCCCCUGCUUCUGGUUGCCUGGAAGUUGCCACACUGUCCCCGGAAAGCCAUGCAAAGCGCCAC